AUUGACGCUGGCGGCAGGCCUAACACAUGCAAGUCGAACGAGUGGCGGACGGGUGAGUAAUGUCUGGGAAACUGCCUGAUGGAGGGGGAUAACUACUGGAAACGGUAGCUAAUACCGCAUACCAUCGGAUGUGCCCAGAUGGGAUUAGCUAGUCGGUGGGGUAACGGCUCACCUAGGCGACGAUCCCUAGAUGGUCUAAGGGGAUGACGUAGAAGGGGGGGUAACGGCUAACGGAGUCGAGGAGCCCUAGCGUGGAUGAGAGGAUGACCAGCCACACUGGCGGUAGGAAGCAGGGGGGAAUAUUGCACAAUGGGCGCAAGCCUGAUGCAGCCAUGCGGCGUGUAUGAAGAAGGCCGUCGGGUUGUAAAGUACUUUCAGCGGGGAGGAAGGGAGUAAAGUUAAUACCUUUGCUCAUUGACGUUACCCGCAGAAGAAGCACCGGCUAACUCGUGCAGCAGCCGCGGUAAUAC
rnacentral:rRNA from 1 species